GAGGUUAUCUUGGUUGCCGAUAACGGAGAAUUUCAGUUUUCGUACGACGGAAAUAAAGCCAGGAAAGUCGUCGAGAAUUUCACCCCCGAGGGAAUCGCUACGGAUAGUCGGGGAAACUAUCUAGUGGCUGAUCAUUGGAACAACACCGUGCACAUCAUCAAGGAAAAUGGCGCCUUUGUCAGCUAUCUGCUUUUUGGGAAAAUCGAGGGUCCCACGGGGAUAACUGUUGACGACGAGGAUAAGCUCUGGGUGUGUGAGUUCGGUACAGAUGACGGCACUGUCAAGGUCAUAUCCUACCUUAAAUAACAUAAUCAUGACGGUAUUAAUAUUGGCAGGGUUCUGUCAUACCUUCAAUAACAUUUGACGAUAUUGUCAAGGUCAUGUCCUACCUUCAAUAAUGGAUAACUUUUACAUUUAAUAAUGCAUAUGUUUUAUUUGAAAUAACACAUUUAUUGUUUACUAAUAUAUUUUGUUUCACUUUAUAUGUAUCAAAAUAAAAAGUAUUCAAACGCU
rnacentral:misc_RNA from 1 species